rnacentral:hammerhead_ribozyme from 1 species
AUCUUGCUGAUGAGUGCCAAGUAGCACGAAACUCGGGUCCAGGGU